AUUUCUUCUAAGUAUUCUCUCAUCAGGUAAAAAGUUCUGUUCUAAUCAGCUUAAUAUCUGUUACAUCCUGCAUCACGGGACUAGAAUAUUAAAUUCAUUUUUGGCUCAUGACGGAAUACUGAGAGCAUGCUCUACCUCCGUCACAGCAUGCCUCCUCACUUUCGAACUCUCUUAAAGUAGCCAAAUGCUUCAUCAC